ACCUGGCUGGCUCAGUGGGUGGAGCACGCGACUCUUGGUCUCAGGGUUGUGGGUUCAAGCCCCAUGUUGGGUG
rnacentral:tRNA from 1 species